AUUGAACGCUGGCGGCAUGCCUUACACAUGCAAGUCGAACGGUAACGGGCCUUCGGGUGCCGACGAGUGGCGAACGGGUGAGUAAUACAUCGGAACGUGCCCGAUCGUGGGGGAUAACGAGGCGAAAGCUUUGCUAAUACCGCAUACGAUCUACGGAUGAAAGCAGGGGACCGCAAGGCCUUGCGCGGGCGGAGCGGCCGCUGGCAGAUUAGGUAGUUGGUGGGAUAAAAGCUUACCAAGCCGACGAUCUGUAGCUGGUCUGAGAGGAUGAUCAGCCACACUGGGACUGAGACACGGCCCAGACUCCUACGGGAGGCAGCAGUGGGGAAUUUUGGACAAUGGGCGCAAGCCUGAUCCAGCCAUGCCGCGUGCAGGAUGAAGGCCUUCGGGUUGUAAACUGCUUUUGUACGGAACGAAAAGCCUUCUUUUAAUACAGGAGGGUCAUGACGGUACCGUAAGAAUAAGCACCGGCUAACUACGUG
rnacentral:rRNA from 1 species